CGAAAACCCUCCCCCUCACUGCAAUCUUUCUCAAUCUCUCCACUGCCAGCGUCGGUGGCUUAUGCGACUGAGCACUGACCAGCCAAACGCACCGCUACCACCUUUCAUCGGCGUCUUCUCCCUCACUCUCAGGUUUUCUUUUCCCGUCACGCGUCCGUGGCUCCAUUUCGACUUCAUCCUAUUUUUACAUUAGAUUCAGGUUUUGAAGGAUUUUAUCGUGUUGUCCAGCAAAUGUUAAUUACAUUUUGGGGAAUUUCCAGUCAGACGACCUACGGGGAUUAUUUGUGCAAUUUGGUCCUCUUAAGGACACUUAUUUGUCACGAGAUUUUUAUUCUAGAUUCAGUCGAAGUUGGGUUACAGUACAUUGAGAAGUUCAAGUCUUGAAGAAUUUCAUCUCAAUUUUUUCUUAGCCACUCAAAAGUGGGGAAUCUAUGUUACUAGUUUGUGAUAAGAGAUUGUUGCUUCUUUUGAGAAAGUUAAUUUCAAAAGAAUACAAUCUUUUGCUUCCUCCUUAAAGAGCUCAAUGGAAUUUUCUUUUGUUUCCAAAUUUAUUUUAUAUUUCUCAGCCCUUGGGUUAAUAAUUCUAAAAUUCUGAUUGAUACUGAAGAGUUGAAUAGGGAGCUCAAUGGAAUUUAACCCCUUUGAUGCUAUUAUUUGCUUUAUAUAUGUGUUUUUCUGGAUGGAACGCAUUGGGUCAUGGGAGAACAACAAGAAAGCAGCUCUUGAGGCUGAACUAAAACAAAUUGAGACUAUCGGUUCCAAUUUGUAGGAACGGUGUAUUUAGGUACUUUAGAACCUCAACUACCUUCAAGUAGAUUGUACAUUGUAAGGAAAUCAUAGUAAGCCUUCAGAUGUAUGAUCAUAGAGAAUUGGCAAGCAUCCAAUAGAAAUGGAGCACGUCAGAUAAUAAAGGUAUAUAUCUUAUGAAGGCUAGCAACUCAAGAGGAUACCUCUAACAUAUAAAGAAGAUAAGAACAAUCUAACGAUAUAGUUAACAGGUUCAACUGGAGUCGACAACUUCAUGAGUUUACUUUCAAAGAACAUUUUCAGAGACAAAC